GGCGGACGGGUGAGUAACGCGUAGGAAUCUGCCUGUUAGUGGGGGACAACGUGGGGAAACCCACGCUAAUACCGCAUACGCCCUACGGGGGAAAGGAGGGGAUCUUCGGACCUUUCGCUAACAGAUGAGCCUGCGUUAGAUUAGCUAGUUGGUAGGGUAAAGGCCUACCAAGGCGACGAUCUAUAGCUGGUCUGAGAGGACGAUCAGCCACACUGGGACUGAGACACGGCCCAGACUCCUACGGGAGGCAGCAGUGGGGAAUAUUGGACAAUGGGCGAAAGCCUGAUCCAGCAAUACCGCGUGUGUGAAGAAGGCCUUAGGGUUGUAAAGCACUUUCAAUUGGGAGGAAAACCUACCGGUCAAUACCCGGUAGCUUGACAUUACCUUUAGAAGAAGCACCGGCUAACUCCGUGCCAGCAGCCGCGGUAAUACGGAGGGUGCGAGCGUUAAUCGGAAUUACUGGGCGUAAAGCGUGCGUAGGCGGUUCGUUAAGUCAGAUGUGAAAGCCCUGGGCUCAACCUGGGAACUGCAUUUGAAACUGGCGGACUAGAGUUUAGUAGAGGGGAGUGGAAUUUCAGGUGUAGCGGUGAAAUGCGUAGAUAUCUGAAGGAA
rnacentral:rRNA from 1 species